GGGUAACGGCCUACCAAGUCGACGAUCAGUAGCCGGACUGAGAGGUUGAACGGCCACAUUGGGACUGAGACACGGCCCAGACUCCUACGGGAGGCAGCAGUGGGGAAUAUUGCACAAUGGGGGAAACCCUGAUGCAGCGACGCCGCGUGAAGGAAGAAGGCCUUCGGGUUGUAAACUUCUGUCGUACGGGACGAUAAUGACGGUACCGUACAAGAAAGCCACGGCUAACUAC
rnacentral:rRNA from 1 species